rnacentral:misc_RNA from 1 species
GCAAACUUGGUCAUUUAGAGGAAGUAAAAGUCGUAACAAGGUCUCCGUUGGUGAACCAGCGGAGGGAUCAUUACCGAGUUAUCCAACUCCCAACCCCUGUGAAUUAUAAUACCUUUAAUUGUUGCUUCGGCGGGACUUCGCGCCCGCCGGGGACCCAAACCUUCUGAAUUUUUUAAUAAGUAUCUUCUGAGUGGUUAAAAAAAAUGAAUCAAAACUUUCAACAACGGAUCUCUUGGUUCUGGCAUCGAUGAAGAACGCAGC